GAUGAACGCUAGCUACAGGCUUAACACAUGCAAGUCGAGGGGCAGCAUGAUUUAAGCUUGCUUCAAUCGAUGGCGACCGGCGGACGGGUGAGUAACACGUAUCCAACCUGCCGAUAACUCGGGCUUAGCCUGUCGAAAGAAUGAUUAAUACCCGAUAGUAUAGUAUUUCUGCAUGGUUUCACUAUUAAAUAACUUCGGUUAUCGAUGGGGAUGCGUUCCAUUAGAUAGUUGGCGGGGUAACGGCCCAGCAAGUCAACGAUGGAUAGGGGUUCGGAGAGGAAGAUACCCGGUAUGGGAGCUGAGACACGGACCAAACUCCUGAGACACGCAGCAGUGACGAAUAUGAGGCAAUGGAGGAGAGUCUGAACCAGCCAAGUAGCGUGAAGGAUGACUGCGCUAUGGGUGGUAUACUGCUUUUAGACGGGAAUAAAGUGGAGAAUGCAUACUACUUUGAAUGUACCGGAUGAAUAAGGAUCGGCUAACUCCGUG
rnacentral:rRNA from 1 species